rnacentral:lncRNA from 1 species
GUUUUGUUAGCAGCCGGACUGGUCUCGGUCACUCUGUGUGCAGAAAUGUAUUAUAGACCUGUAAUUCUCCUCUCAGUCUGCAGGCAUCAUCGGCACAGGGAUCGACCCACCAUGAGCAGGAGAAAGAAGAUGUUUCGAAGGAGGCGGUUCUGGGAGAAGAGGAUUUGGGUCCUGAGGAGCCAGACUUAUCAACACUAAGCCUUUGUGAGAAGAUGGCAUUAUUCAAUCGCUUGUCACAUCCCUCUGGCCAGUCAGCAAACGGACCCCGUCCUGACACACGCCAGCGUAGAGCCAACACCCGCUUUCAGACUCAACCAAUCACCCAGGACGAGGUUGAUCAGCUGCAAAAUGGAAGCGUGAAGUUGGAGCCUCUCUCUGCAUCGCUGGUCCGCUCUGUUACCGCGGUCACCGCCCAGGCCUCUGUUGCCACAGUGAUAAGUGCUUCCCCAUCAAUGACCGCAGAUGUUCGCAUGGGGAUCUCUGCAGCUCCACCCACCACUCAGGCCUCACCCAAUCAGGUGGUCUCUGCUCCGUUUCCGUCCUAUGAGAGAGGAGUUCGAUACUUCAGUCUUACAGAGAGUGGGGAAAGACCCACACCUGAUGUUCAGUCCCCGCCCCCCGCAGAGCUGCCCGGCCAAUCGGCGUACAGCAAGGGUGUGGCCGACGAGAGUGGGCGGAGGGGAAGACUAGGGUAUUUAAGCAGAGAGGAGAGAGACACAGAGCUCCCCAGUGCGACUUCCCCUCCGCACACACAUGCGCUCAGACACACACCCCCUCACAGCAGGGGAGACGCAGAGCUGAGUGGCCCACGGGAGAGGGAGAAAGAGGGUACACCCAUCUCACAGGGAGGCUACUUCUCGCCAGAUGCCCAUCAGACGGCAAGAGGAAGCGGUACCAGAGCCAUCGUCUCAGGUAAGGAAAGAUAGAACGAAAAGAAAAUGGGUUUAGAUGCUGUGCAAACCAAUCAGCUGUGUCUAUUGUCUCUGUGCACACAAUCACACACAUGCUGCACUGAUUGGGUUAACUGGGUUAACCGGCCUCCAGCCUACAUGCUGCUCGAGUCGAAUGUGAUUAGCAUAAUUUAUCAUACAUCAAGCAUGCGGCUCUCUUUGUCACGCAAAACUAAUGAUGCCGAAAUGAAUCGGGC